GCCUCUAGAGCAUGACGGUAAUGCUGCGGACUCUUAAUCCGUAGACCGGGGUUCGACUCCCUGUAGGGGCA
rnacentral:tRNA from 1 species